UACACUCCUGCGGGAGGCAGCAGUGGGGAAUUUUGGACAAUGGGCGAAAGCCUGAUCCAGCAAUGCCGCGUGUGUGAAGAAGGCCUUCGGGUUGUAAAGCACUUUUGUCCGGAAAGAAAUCCUUGGCUCUAAUACAGUCGGGGGAUGACGGUACCGGAAGAAUAAGCACCGGCUAACUACGUGCCAGCAGCCGCGGUAAUACGUAGGGUGCGAGCGUUAAUCGGAAUUACUGGGCGUAAAGCGUGCGCAGGCGGUUUGCUAAGACCGAUGUGAAAUCCCCGGGCUCAACCUGGGAACUGCAUUGGUGACUGGCAGACUAGAGUAUGGCAGAGGGGGGUAGAAUUCCACGUGUAGCAGUGAAAUGCGUAGAGAUGUGGAGGAAUACCGAUGGCGAAGGCAGCCCCCUGGGCCAAUACUGACGCUCAUGCACGAAAGCGUGGGGAGCAAACAGGAUUAGAUACCCCGGUAGUCCCAUG
rnacentral:rRNA from 1 species